UCUCCGUAGGUGAACCUGCGGAGGGUUCAUUACUGAGUGAGGGCCUUCCCGGCCCGACCUCCAACCCUUUGUGAACACAACUUGUUGCUUCGGGGGCGACCCUGCCGUUUCGACGGCGAGCGCCCCCGGAGGCCUUCCAACACUGCAUCUUUGCGUCGGAGUUUAAAACAAAUUAAACAAAACUUUCAACAACGGAUCUCUUGGUUCGGGCAUCGAUGAAGAACGCAGC
rnacentral:misc_RNA from 1 species